UACGAAGGGGGCUAGCGUUGCUCGGAAUUACUGGGCGUAAAGCGCACGUAGGCGGCUUCUUAAGUCGGUGGUGAAAUCCUGGAGCUCAACUCCAGAACUGCCUUCGAAACUGGGAAGCUCGAGUUCGGGAGAGGUGAGUGGAACUGCGAGUGUAGAGGUGAAAUUCGUAGAUAUUCGCAAGAACACCAGUGGCGAAGGCGGCUCACUGGCCCGAUACUGACGCUGAGGUGCGAAAGCGUGGGGAGCAAACAGG
rnacentral:rRNA from 1 species